UUCGGACCGCUUAUAUCAUCCUCUCAUUGCAAUAAAGCAUAUAUGCUUAGCUAAACUAAUGUGUAUGUUGUAUGAUGUAUUAUGACAUUUGCAAUAUUUGAAACCAAAUUAUCAACUUAUUGUUGCCGUGGUGCUUUCAUCGGCGGAAGAAGAUCCGGUAUUUGAGAGUGUAUGUAUAGUAGGGUAUUUGUUUGAAGAGUGUAUGUAUUUACAGUGGAGUAUAACUUUAAAACAAAAAAAAAAAAAAAAAAAAA
rnacentral:lncRNA from 1 species